AAGUCGUAACAAGGUCUCCGUAGGUGAACCUGCGGAGGGAUCAUUAAAACGUUCCAAUAACGUAUACCUUGGUGAACUGUUAACCGUCCCAUUCUGAGUUUGGCUGUAAAGUACGGGAGUGCGAUGCAAUAGGGGGUGAUGAACUUCGGUUCGUUGCUCUGCGCCUGUACCCUCAGAGACUUUGUCUCUGGAGCCUUUCACAGAAUUUUAACUAUUGUGUUUUUCAUUUUAACCCCUUUUAAUUUUUUUGUCUAAUUAUUUUAAAUUAUUAAAUUUAAGAACAAUUCUUAGCAACGGAUAUCUUGGUUCUC
rnacentral:misc_RNA from 1 species